rnacentral:rRNA from 1 species
AUGAUGAGGUCCAAUAGCCAUGGAGAUUUGUACCCAUUCUUCGGCAACUCCGGCGUCCAGCAUGCACUUUCCGCCGUCACCGACUUGUGGCAUCUCCGUCUAGGCCACCCCAGCAAUAACUCCAUUUCCGUUUUAGCUAAAGAUUUCCUACCUUCGUGUAAUAAUGGCGUGCCCAAAUCUAGCAUUUGUUCUUCAUGCCAAUUAGGCAAGCAGCCACGGCUGCCUUUUUCUUCUUCAACGUCUAUUACUACAGCGCCUUUUCAAUUAAUACAUUGUGACUUAUGGACCUCUCCUGUGUGUAGUUUUUCCGGGUUCCAAUACUAUCUCAUGAUACUUGACGAUUUUCCCACUACUCUUGGACAUUUCCCCUACGCAACAAAUCCGACACCGCUGACGUAG